UGGAUACUCAGCAGAAAAGAUCAGCCUAGCAGCAAGCGGGGAAUAAUUGAUCAAUUACACUUUAAUAAGGUAAAUGAGAAUGAAAAUCUCACUGAAGUGACUGCAUAACUUUGAGUAAAAGAAGCUCAUUGGACCCUAUCCAGAGCAAGCAAAGUUCAUCAAAGUGGAGCACACUGAAGAUUUCAAGGAAAAAUAGCAAAGAGCUGAAUGGGCAGAUACCCACCAGACAUUAACAAGAGCAAGACUGCUGAACUGAGUCGUACUCUUCAGAUCUUGGAAUUUGAGCUUCAGUCCCAAUAG